rnacentral:snoRNA from 1 species
GGCCUGAUGCCACGUCUCCGGUAGCCGCAAGCCUUGACCGGAGAUGAUACAUUGUGCCGACAUAGAUUUUCCUAUUUGAUAGGAACACUGCCGGUACGCAGAACCGUUUUUUGUGAUUACACUU